CUCAGGAGAAAGUGAUAGAAACGCAAAGCCCCCUCCACCUCUCCACAGCUGCUUACAGAAGGAGAAGCCCUGAUAAACACAUCACCUAGGCUUUGCCUUAGGAGCAGCCCAGCUUUCCUCUGGUUGAUGUAUUGAUGCUGACCAGAGGGAGUCAGGGCAGCGGGGCUGGACUUUCCUGUGGCUGCCGUACAUGUGCACGGAUGCCUUCACUGUGCUGGAGAGCUGCCCCCUGACCCUGGCUGCUUUCACUUGCAAAGCAAACUCCUGGCCUAUGGAAAUCGGCCCAUUUCCAUGUCACUUUAACGUCCCUUCCCACCCUGCGUGAGACCAUUCCCACCAGUGUCGCUGCUGGACGCUGCAAUGGCAGGAACCGAGCCCAUCAGCAUCCUUGGGCUUAUCCUGGGCAUCAGCCUGGCCUUGCUGCUCCUGGGUAUCCUGAGCUACACCAUUCUUAAGUGGUACCUGAGAGGACCAGGCUGGCAUCGUCCUAAUUUUGUUUUCAACCUGUAUCACAUCCGCAGCCUGAAGUCUGUGGAAGUGGAGCUGGCCCCGCCGUUCACAGUCAGUGGCUCCAUGAGCAACAUGGAAAGUGGCUACAUGCGGUUCCAUAACAGAAACAUGUGAUGCUGCGAAGCCAGAGAUACUGAUGCUGCAAGGUGAGAGGCUGCACUGGUUCACUUCCUCCAGGACAGGGAGCAGGGGCGGCUGAUCAUUAGCCAUGGGCGUCUUUAUCUCAGACCCUCCUAAGAAUCUCUGUUUGAUUCAGCUGCGAUAUAAAAAAGUCACUUUGAAACUGGGGAGGCGUGUGCCACUUGUAAACCUUGGGCAGGGCAAUCCCUUUUCC
rnacentral:lncRNA from 1 species